UACGUAGGGGGCGAGCGUUGUCCGGAUUUAUUGGGCGUAAAGCGCGUGUAGGCGGUUAGGUAGGUCCGUUGUGAAAACUCGAGGCUCAACCUCGAGACGCCGAUGGAAACCAUCUAACUAGAGUCCGGAAGAGGAGAAUGGAAUUCCUGGUGUAGCGGUGAAAUGCGCAGAUAUCAGGAAGAACACCCGUGGCUAAGGCGGUUCUCUAGUACGGUACUGACGCUGAGACGCGAAAGCGUGGGGAGCGAACAGG
rnacentral:rRNA from 1 species